UCCCAAAUCCUAAAUCACAUAUCCACAUAAUAAUUAAAUUAAAACAAAAGUUGAAAUUAAUAUCUUUGGUCACAUUACAUAAUCUUGGCUCAACGACAGCAACUCGUCAUCUACCGACCAACGACCCAAUCUAACCUGUGAGGAGUAGGGAAAAAGGUGAGUAUAUGGAAAUACUCAAUAGGAUAUAAAAAUCAAUUGUGCGAUCCCGUAUAAUAAUUUUAAAGCAUGGAUCAGAAAAUCAUAUCAUUUCAUAUCUUUAAAUCUGUCUCGUAUCAUAUUUUUGUAUCGGAAUAGCCAUAUCAUUCAUAUCAUAGCAUAUCAUAUCAUAUCAUAACAUUAACUUUCAUAAGUAUAAAAAUCAUCAGCAUAAAAAAAAAUUUAAACGGGGAUUAAAAAAAAAAAAAACACUGCACCUCAAUAUCCCACCUCGUAAGAUUGAAUAAAUUCUUGAAAGAUGAAGUCCAAAAAUUACGUUUCAAAUCUUCUAAUUUUCUUGGUUGCCUUUUAAAAAAUUGACAUUGUCUUCUACAUAAUGCUUAUGUA
rnacentral:lncRNA from 1 species